rnacentral:lncRNA from 1 species
UAAGCCACUUUCGCAGGGAUCCCGAUUGCAUUUAGCUUAUGCAACAAGCCUUUAAAUCCCUAGGUUGCACUACUGGACGAGUUAUAGCCUCGUGAGGGUUUUCAAGGAUGAUACCCACAAACAUCUGAAAUUUUAACUCUCCUGAAAAGUCAUCAUCAAGAAUGUCAAAGGUCAAAAACCAAGAUUCUCAAUUCAUGAACAAAUUUAAAAGAGCGAACACAAAUCCAAAACUUUAAGUUCUUCCAGUCUAAAGUCAAAGUCAUUUAUCACCAUUAAUAAAAUUUUCAAUUGCUUUCUUUGGUGUGAAGUGAACUAACAUUGUUGAGAAAACAAAAAUUCAAUCUUAAUCACACCAUCCUUCCUAUCUUAGAAAUUUAUUUAUUUAUUUAUAAAUAUUAGUAUUUGACU